CUAUCUUUUGCUUGUAUGUGGCUACCUUUCACUAGUAACGAAGUAGUGCUUGCCUUCUGGCUACAACUUCCUAAUUAAGAGAAUUGCUUUGAUACUAAAUUACUUGAAUCAACUUAUUUUAUUAUCACAAGCACAGAGUAUUUAUACAUCAGAUACCCGUAUAUAAUAAGGUUACCUUCUAGCUACGGUGGUACGAGGGCGUUUGUGUGCCUCAAACCCUGCCGUGCAAAUCUGGUUGAGGAAGAAGGUAGGGGUGCUGAUAUCCGAGGCGCUGUGGUGCUAUUGACACAUUGUGAGUUGCACAGCUUAAAUUCUGAAUUUCCCUGGGUGCUUCUCGAUUCCGUGUGUUGAUGGUGAGCGAAUCAGAAAUUUGUGGGGUCCUAGAAAGCGAUCUUCGAAAAGAUUGGAAAGACCUUAAUUAAUGAAGCGAUUACAAGGAACCCCGCUGCUCUUACCGACUGCCUUAAGAGUUGAGGAAGAUGAAGAACAUUGUAAGCAAUGGCUGUCUUUGUCAAGUGACUCUCCUGCAAGAGAAAGGGAUCAGCGAAGAUGCGCCCCUGCGUUGCUUUUGCUGCUGAUGAUGGCUCUCUUGCUCGUAUUUCUCGCUAUUAUGCUCCUGGAAUGCCUCAUACACUCUUUUCAGUUUCACCGUUGAAUUCUAAGUCUCGAGGCUGAAUUCCCUUGAAACUAAACAAUGAUGUCUCCGUUCGUUGAGGCCAAUGUCGUUUGAUGAUCAGUUACAAAUUGCGAAGUUAGGAACCUAUUCUCCUCAGCAUUUACGGCUUUCACGUUCCUAGUAGAAGAUAUGGGUACAUAGACGACAGACGACAGGUGUGAUGGGAUUGCACGUUUCGAAUGAAACGACACCACGUUGAUGAAACAAGAGAUACUGAUGUGAGACAGUAGUCUCAUCCAGCUGAUGUGAUUCUGCAGUCCCAAGCUCAUGGUGGCUCUAAAUCUCACAUUCUGGGACGGUAUCAAAUUGUUCCCAAUUACGAGGAUCCCGCAACGUCCAUUACAGAGACUGAAAUUCACAGGUACAUUCACCUCUUAAGAAAUGAACAGAUCGAAGUAAAGCUGGACAUGGAAGAGAUGGAAUUUCGAUAGAACAAUUUUGUACGCGAGAUGCAGAAAAAUUUCGGCCUUUUCAUUUCAGGUCAACCAAAAUUUUCAAGGAUGAAGACAUCGAGGAUUCACAGCAUUUCGCAGGAAACGCAUAGAACCGAACCAGUGUUCACCGUGAGAGAAUUGGUAACCACGUGAUUAACACAUUUAAAGAA